rnacentral:lncRNA from 1 species
ACUAUUAAUUUAUUUUGAAUGAUAGAGCCUCCUGUAUCCAACAAUUUAUUAAAAAUAAAUAUACCAUUUGAGAAAGAGAAAGAGAGAUGGAUGGAAAAGUAUUAGAGAACCUCAUCAUUUAACGGACCAGAAGUCCAAAGGUCGCCCCAGAAGCUUACUCAGCCUUCAUACAAAGCCCCAACCCAAAGUAAAGGUUUGACCCAUCCAACCCUACUCCAUCCCAAUUAUAAUUAUUCAUAAUCUUAUAUUUUAUAUAUUCAAAAUAAGUUUUUUAAAUUUCUCUUUUGAAUAGCUUUAUAAAUAUCAUACCUAAUUUUUUACAGUCUUUAAAAUUAAUAAGUUUUGUAAGAUAAUUAUAUAUAUCAUAUAUAUAUAUAAUAUUAUAAUAGUGUAGAUGUUCAUCUCACGUGUCUUAAUCUUAUAGACACUUAACGUUUAAAUAAAGUUACAUCGUUCAUCCGUGUGGCAAGUAACCAUACAUCCUAUUUGUCAAUUUGGCCUUUAGAUAGAGGUUUUUGUUGAGUUAUGUUAUUUUAAUAUCAUAUUUUUCAAUGCUUGUGUUUCGAUCGUACCUUGUUUUUAUAAUAAAAUAGUAAAUAAAACUUUACGGUGCCUACAAUUUUAUUCAAUAAAAAAAUAAAUGUAUAAAACUAAUAACAUUUAAUAACCUUUUGCUAGUGAAUGUAAGAUAUAUAUGCCUAACAUAUUUAUGGAUAAUUAAAUAGCUACUAUCAGUGGGUCGAUUUAAGCUUGACCUAAACAAGUGAACUUAAACUUUGAUCUAAGGUGUCAAGCUUAAGUCAUAGAUCCAAUUCAAGCUCAAACGAUAUCUUUGAUUUUUUAAAUUUUGCAGGAAGAUGAGCUUGAAUCUUUACCUUUUAGAAUUGGAUGAGCAAGACAGUUCCAUUGAUGACGUGCUAUCAAUAAAUUUAUAUUACUCGUAACACUUGACAUAACCUCUCAAAUCACUCUUAAUAAAACCGUACAUUACAACGAGUGAUUUGUACGUAUUUUUUAUCUCCUUAUAAAUUAUAGAUAUUUUUUUACUUGAAAAAAAAAUAUAAAGAAAGAAAGAAAGAUGGGUACUUAUGUAAUUUUGGUUAAUGGGGACAUGGGUAUGCUUUUUGGAGGCUAAAUUGGGCUAUAAAAUGGAGUAUGAAGAAG